rnacentral:sRNA from 1 species
AUACAUAUUCUAUACACUCCAUCUUAUGGUUAGUUUUCCUUUUUAAU